rnacentral:rRNA from 1 species
AUUGAACGCUGGCGGCAUGCCUUACACAUGCAAGUCGAACGGCAGCGCGGGAGCAAUCCUGGCGGCGAGUGGCGAACGGGUGAGUAAUAUAUCGGAACGUGCCCAGUAGUGGGGGAUAGCCCGGCGAAAGCCGGAUUAAUACCGCAUGAGACCUGAGGGUGGAAAGCGGGGGAGUCGCAAGACCUCGCGCUAUUGGAGCGGCCGAUAUCAGAUUAGCUAGUUGGUGGGGUAAAGGCCUACCAAGGCAACGAUCUGUAGUUGGUCUGAGAGGGCGACCGGCCACACUGGAACUGAGACACGGUCCAGACUCCUACGGGAGGCAGCAGUAGGGAAUAUUGGACAAUGGGCGCAAGCCUGAUCCAGCCAUGCCGCGUGAGUGAAGAAGGCCCUCGGGUUGUAAAGCUCUUUUGUCCGGAAAGAAAAGCACUGGGUUAAUACCCCGGUGUCCUGACGGUACCGGAAGAAUAAGCACCGGCUAACUUCGUGCCAGCAGCCGCGGUAAGG